rnacentral:lncRNA from 1 species
GAGGAGCUGAUGGAUCAGACAUAUAGGAGGAGAUGAAAAGGAAGCAGGGCAGAGGUCAGCCCUCCAAAGUCCAGAUUCUGAAGCCAGAAACCCCUGGCUGGGUGACAUAGGGCCAAGUAACUCUAGCUUUCUGAGCCUAAAAUGCCUCCUCUGGUCAGGGGUGGAGAAGAGGAAGAGAGAAAGAAAGAGAGCUCAGCAGCCUCAGGGGCUCUCCCAGCAGGAUCUUCAAGCCUAGACUUCUGUUUGGAGAAGGACCACCUCAAGCAGCCCCAGCCUUCCUGAUCUCCCAACACCAGGGGUUGCCUAGGAGCCACGUGGAGCCCUACCAGGAAACCAACCGAAGCUUCCAGAGGUCAAGGACCUUGUCCCGCUCCUCUACGGGGUGGGUAACGCUGCUGUGUGACCUGGGCUCCGCAUAUAAAGUGAGGGACUUUGCUUGAGGGCCCCCAGCACCUCACACUCCAUCCCUGACUUUGGGUCUGCGGUUCCAGCUCCCAGGACUUUCCCACCUCCCGCCCCAGCGUGCUGUUUCUUAGGGCCCAGCUCCCUUGGGAACAGCCAGGCCCGUCCCCUCCCCCUCCCGGGCUGUGCUCCUGGCAGCUCUGCCGCCCUAGGCUCUGGUCCGGGGGUGGUCCCUGGCAGAGAGGGGGCUGGGCAGAAGAUGG